rnacentral:lncRNA from 1 species
GACCUUUUUCAUAAGUACAUGGCACUAUAUACAUUCCAGAGGAAGGACCACUGUCUACACAUGGUGUCAGGGGAGGGGUAGGGAGACAGGACACAGUCAGGAGGGGUAGGGGAGACAGGACACCGUCAGGAGGGGUAGGGGAGACAGGACACAGUCAGGAGGGGUAGGGAAGACAGGACACAGUCAGGAGGGGUAGGGGGGACACAGUCAGGAGGGUUAGGGAGAACAGGACACAGUCAGGAGGGGAGGAGACAGGACACAGUUUUUUCCCCCCCCAGGGCAAGGGGUAGGGAGACAGGACACAGUCAGGAGGGGUAGGGGGACACAGGACACAUCAGGAGGGUUAUGGGGGACCAGAGUGGUGAGGGAGACAGGACAAAAACAAUUUUUCAAGGGGGGUAGGGAGACAGGACACAGUCAGGAGGGGUAGGGGAGACAGGACACAGUCAGGAGGGGUAGGGGGACA